rnacentral:rRNA from 1 species
GAAGUUGAGGAAAGUGGCGAACGGGUGAGUAACGCGUGAGAAAACCUGCCUUUCAGUGGGGGACAACAGUUGGAAACGACUGCUAAUACCGCAUGAUGUAUUCGGGGGGCAUCCCCUGAAUGUCAAAGAUUUAUUGCCUGAAGGAUGGGCUCAUGUCUGAUUAGCUAGUUGGUAGGGUAACGGCCUACCAAGGCGACGAUCAGUAGCCGGUCUGAGAGGAUGAACGGCCACAUUGGGACUGAGAUACGGCCCAGACUCCUACGGGAGGCAGCAGUGGGGAAUAUUGGGCAAUGGGCGAAAGCCUGACCCAGCAAUGCCGCGUGAAGGAAGAAGGCCUUCGGGUUGUAAACUUCUUUUACCGAGGACGAAUAAAUGACGGUACUCGGCGAAUAAGCUCCGGCUAACUACGUG